rnacentral:rRNA from 1 species
UCAGAACGGACGCUGGCGGCACGCCUAACACAUGCAAGUCGAGCGCGCCCUUCGGGUGAGCGGCGGACGGGUUAGUAACGCGUGGGAACGUACCCUUCUCUACGGAAUAGCCGUUGGAAACGAUGAGUAAUACCGUAUACGCCCUUUGGGGAAAGAUUUAUCGGAGAAGGAUCGGCCCGCGUUAGAUUAGAUAGUUGGUGGGGUAAUGGCCUACCAAGUCUACGAUCUAUAGCUGGUUUGAGAGGAUGAUCAGCAACACUGGGACUGAGACACGGCCCAGACUCC